UACGUAGGGUGCAAGCGUUGUCCGGAAUUAUUGGGCGUAAAGAGCUCGUAGGCGGUUUGUUGCGUCGGCUGUGAAAUCCCGAGGCUCAACCUCGGGUCUGCAGUCGAUACGAGCAAACUAGAGUGUUGCAGGGGAGACUGGAAUUCCUGGUGUAGCGGUGAAAUGCGCAGAUAUCAGGAGGAACACCGGUGGCGAAGGCGGAUCUCUGGGCCUUACCUGACGCUCAGGCGCGAAAGCUAGGGGAGCGAACAGG
rnacentral:rRNA from 1 species